AGAAUUUUUUUUUUUUUUUUUUUUUUUUUUAGGUACUGGGGAUUGAACCCAGGAGCAUGCAACCACUGAGCCACUUCCCCAGCCCUUUUAUAUAUUUUAUGUAGAGACAGAGUCACACUGAGUUGCUUAGGGCCUUGCUAACUUGCUGAGGCUGGCUUUAAACUCUCCAUCCUCCUGCCUAAGCCUCCCAAGCUGCUGGAAUUACAGGAGUGUGCCACCACACCUGGCUGAUGUCAUCAUCUUGAAGUGAAAAUUGUCUCCUCACCUGUGGACCUAACCAUUGAUUCUGUUCUAAGGAAAGUGACUGAAUGCUGUUGACACAGUUCUUUAUGAAGAUCCCUGAGGAAUAACUUGUGCUUCUUACAACCAGAACCACAAGCCUUUCUGCUAAGCAGUAUUUUGCUUUCACAGGAUGUGCUCUAACAAUUGUGUAGUUGACCAGAUAGAGUGCCUUUCACACUGGACACUUGAAAAACUUAAUGCCAAACUUGGUUUCCCUCAGAAGCUAUUGUAAUAUAGGUCAUCAUGGUAAUUUAUCAUUUCAUUUGUACUAUUCUGUGUACAUGAUGGGGUACAGAUAGUUGGGAGCUAUUCUUUUUAAUAGAAUUGAUAGGACUACCACAAAACAGCCUAUUUUUUCCUGGAAUCUAACAGGAGAAAGUAUAUUGACCUUUUGCAAUUGAAAACAAUACUUUGUUGCCUCCUACUCAAAAAUGCAAUUAUGGUUUUUAGCGUUCCUACAGAUAUCAGUUUACCUUAUUUAUGUGUCUUUCUUUGUUACAAAAAGGGAUUUAAGUUCAGCUGAAUAAGCAGAUAUUAUUCUAAAUCACAGAAAUCAAAUGUCCUAGGUUAUUCUAUUCUAGCAUCCUGAUGAAUCAUUUGAAUGAAAUCUGAAAAAUGAACAUUAAGAGGUACUGUAAUCCUAAAAUUUUAGCACUAGAGGGACAUUAGAAGGUGUGCAUGGGGUGGAGGGACCAAGAGGGACUGAAUGACUAUAAUCCCAAAGUUAAGAAAGAACUAUUAUUCAAAUGUUAUUUGAAUCCAGAUGUAGUCCACUGUUCUUAACUUUUCCCUAUGGUCCCUUUCACAUCUCCAUCGUUGCCUGCUCUAAUAUGUGGUUCUAAAUUUUUUUUUCCCCAGACCACUGGUCUCAUAAUAGAUAUCAAGAUCUAUACUACUAAUACACAGAACUUAUUAAGCUUUUCAGAUGUCACAGAGCAUAACUUCAGCUGCAGCCAAGUGCUAAUGACAAAAGCUCUAGCAGUCAAGGAUGGCAGCAUGUCAUUUUAUGACAACACUUGGGGCUUUUCCAAUUUGGUGUUUAGAAUAUCCUGAAAGAAUCUAGUCAGGCUUUCUAAAUAUUAUUUUAAAAUACAAGUGUUAUGGUUUAGCUAUGAGGAGUCCCCAAAAGCUCAUGUGUGAGACAAUGCAAGAAAUUUCAGAGGUGAACUGAUAGGUUGUGGGAGCCUUAAGCUAUUCAGUACAUUAAUCCACUGGAAUGGACUAACUGGGUGGUAACUGUGGGCAGGCAGGGUGUGCUGGAGGUGGUGGGCCACUGGGGGUGUCUUUGAGGUUUAUAUAUUGUCCCUGCCGAGCAGAGGGGUCUCUCUCUGCUUCCUGGUGCCAUGUUCUGAGUAGCUUUCCUCCACCACACACUUCCACCAUGGUGUUCUGCCACACCACGGGCCCAGAGCAAUGGAGCCAGUUGUCUAUGGACUGAGACCUGUGAAACUGUGAGCUCCAAAUAAACUAUUUCCUCCUCUGAAAUUGUUCUUGUCAGGAUUUUGGUCACAGCAGCAAAAAAGCUGAUUAAAACAAGAAAUGUUAGAUACAGACCUUUUUCUGAGACAAAAUUUUGCUGUGUAGCCCAGGCCAACUUUGAACCUUGUGAUCCUCCUGCCUCAGCCUCCCCAGUGGCUAAUGAAGAUUGACUUUCUUGUCCUUGUGACUUUAAUAGUCUUGGUGACUUUUUUUUGGUCAAGCCGAUAACCUUAUAAGCCAAGGUUAUAGAUUUCUGUAAACCAGACUCCACGUGUUUCUCAGCAGCAGAAUCACCAUGCCACUCUCCCUUUAAAGUAUCUUUCAUCGUGGAAAUGAUGUGAGGAUGCUAAGCAGAUGGCUUUUCAUAGUACUUUUCUUAUACAAGCAACUAUUUCUUCAAGCUCAUUGUGGGCUGUAUACUUUUGAGUUAGGAGAUCAGUGGCUACAGAAAUAUGUGUAAACUUAAGCUCUGGGAUUAUAAAAUGUUGUACUUGAUGAUGCUUAAAAAAACUAUUCACUUUCUGGUCCUCCAGCAAGCCAGAGAUGUCCUACAUGUGCUAGUUGAGCCCUCUAUUAUGUUUUCCAUGUGUCCUUUCCCACAUCUUUGCAAGCCUCCCUGAAAAGGCAGAGAUAUAAAUAAAGAUAGAAAAGCACACACUUAGGAUAAAAUUUAGAAAUCCCUCAACAGAGAGUGUUCAAUAGGUUCCUGUUCCUUUUUUUUACUCUACAGGUUUAUUAUUGUUUUAUUGUUGUUAACCUGGAUUUGGGGGAUUUUUAUGUCUGAAUCAAUUUAAGGAUCAAUUUAAAAAUAAGACUUGAUGGAGGGAAGUUCUGACUUGAAAUGCACAAAGUCAAUCUCCUGAGAUUCUUUUUAAAGAUAAACUGUUUACUGGAAUCAUUACAAAUUAAUGUGUGCAUGCGUUACUUUAUGAGUAGAUACAUUUGAGCAAAUUUCAGUUGUUUUCCUGUUUUUCACAGUAUCCCUUCAUGUGCAUUUAAAUUUUUAUGAUGUGCAACAUUAGCUCUACAGAAUGCUUAAUGUUUGUGCAUGUCCAUAAGCUUAAAUUCCUUCUUGGAGGUUGAAUAAUAAUUGCUUGUCUAAUUCUCUUAUACCUUCAUACUAUGAGUUGCAAAUAUUUAAAAAUUUGGCAUUGUAAAGUUAGUUAUUCCCUCUUGUAACUGGGCUAGGAGAAAGUUAUUCUCUGAUACAAUAAAAAUUACUCCCUGUCUUUUGGGGAUUGAUUUCUAAAUUUGAAGACUGUGUCAGAGUUGUCUGGACUGUUUCACUGAAAUUUCAGCUUCUACAAAAUAAAAAUAAGUUUUGAACUAGUUUCUAGGUCACUGGCACAGAAAGCUGGCAAAAAAAAAAAAAAAAACCCUAUCGCUUAUUUUGGAUAGCCCAGUUAGUGUGAUCCAUCAGCACACACUGUUCUUUUAGAUUGUGAUUCAACUUUAAGAAAAAAUAAAAUGUAGGGAUUCCCAAAUGUCACCUUAUCCCCAAAAGUCCUUUUGCAUUCUUUCUCUGUAAUCUCAGACAUGAGUGAUUCUCCUCCAUUUUAGUAGAUCCCCUGAUUUGGGAGGAGGGAAGGAAAUUUCACUAGGUAUCAGUUCUAUAUUUUGCCUUAUUGAACAACUCAUAUUUAUUUGUUAUUUUAGGUAAGUUCCAAUUUUGGACCAGACAGCAGGGACUGUGGUUACAGUGGAAAACACACAAACUAGGUGCUGACAGCUUCCACCCAGCUUGACUUAAUAUGAACUGACCAUGGUCAAAUAUUUUAAGUUUUCUGAACCUCUGUUUUUGUGUAUAAGACAGAAAUAAUAACAAUUUCACAAAUUUGUUAUAAUUAAUAAAAAAUAAUAAUUACCUUAUUUUCAAUGUUGUAUAUGUAUCAGAAAGGUUGAAACUGUUAUUAUCCCCAUAAAGAAAAUGAGGCUAAAAUAUUAAAAAAGUCAUGGAGUAGCGUCAAUUUGCAAACCAGAGUCUGUCUGACAGACUUAAAUCCUAUGCCAUUCAUCCCACUUGGGUUGAGUAAGAUAUCCCAUCUGAAGCUACCUGGCUCUUUGAGGAAGUCAAUAUAUGUUAUUUCUGCCUUCCUUGGCAGAAAGAUUAUGUGCUUUACUGAAUGAACUCUAGUUUUUUAUGCUCAAUGAAUCUAUCACAAAAAUUUUGAUUUGCUGAGGAAGUUUUAAUAAUUGCUUUGUGCAAACCCUGCCUAUUGUUUUUCACAGCCAAAAAAAUGGCCUUUUAAGAACACAUAGACCUUCCAGGUAUCAUCCCAUUUGUUCUCGCAGCCCCUCCUCCACAGAGGAGCCUCUUAACCAUCAGUAGAAACCAGAGACCACCCCAGUGAUGGGAAAAGGAAAAAAGCCCAGGCUCAUACCCUCCAGCUGGCUGAUCUAGGAUUUAUGGAGUAGAGAAGUGUCUACCUUGUUAACCAACCGUGAAGUUUUAAAUGCAAAAUGUACCCUCUAAGACUCAAAAGUAUGAUUUCCAUUGAGUUCCCAUGAGCACAGAUGCUGAUCUUGGUAAUCACAUUUGCUGCAAAAAGGUCUUCCUCUAAUAGAAACACACUUAGAGCUGAUAAAAUAAAUGGAAAUGUG
rnacentral:lncRNA from 1 species